rnacentral:lncRNA from 1 species
UUAUCUCUUUUAUAUUGUUUAAUUUAUGAAAAGAAAAGAAAAAAAGAUUUUAGUAUUUUGUCAUGGAUCAACGAGUUAAAUCGGAGACGGCGGUAAUAGGCCCUUAUUUUAGAGCAUUUACAUUUUUUUUUUUUUUAUGAAACCAUUCUUUUCAUGUCAAUUCUACGUCGCGUUCGAUCAGACGAUAAUCGCUAAAUCGAUUUGAAUUUGGUCGUGUAUCGUUCUUCUACAUAUGCGCGCGCAGAUUACAGUUAUAUGCACUAGUUCCGAUUGUUCAGUAUUGUUCGAUAUCGGACGCGAAAAUUUAAAGAGUUAUUCGAGUAUUGUAACCAUAUGAUAUAAAGCUCAAUCGCAAUUAAAUUAAAAGAAUAUACCUUAAAAAAUAUGUUAUAUACAGAACAAAAGAAUACCAUUACAAAAGGAUAAGCAAUCUCGUUACAAAUCCUGAUGCAACGAUUAAUAACUAAUUAUAAAGAAUACUUUUGGUAAUACUUUUUUGUAUUAUCCUUCUAACAUAUUGUUAAUAUUUUUUACAAUUCUGCAACGAAGAAAAAUAGCUGGAAAUAUAGAACGAAGUAUACAUAUAUAGAGAGAUGCAUUUUAGUCUAAAAGUGAGUAUUUGAAAAAUCCAUUAAUUCAACAUGUUUGUUAAAACACUCUAUACAUGUAUACAUAUAUAAAAAGUUGAAUAUUCAGAUGAAACGUCUUUUCUCUUUGAGUAUUGGAAAAAAGAAUUACUAUGUAAUUUUUUGUAAUUCUAGCAGUUAUUUACAAUGAAAGAUUAAUACAUACACAUCGUAUCGGUCAAUAAUUGUAUAAAAUUCAUAUUUUUAGAUUAUACAAAUAUUUGAAUAUAAGCAUGAUUGAUUCUAUUUCGAAUAAUUAUAAAAUAAUUAAUUAAUUUUAUUAAUUAUGGUUAAUUUCUUUCUUUUGUGAUAAUCUAAUGCAUAAAACAUGCAAUAUACUAAUCUUUAGAUUACUUUCAUCUUAAUAUUUAGACGAUGGAAAUAUCCAAAAGGUAAAAAGAUUGUUUAAAAAAUUUAAGUAUGCCCGUAUAAAAGUUCUCGAAAAUUCACUUAAAAAUUUCAAAAUAAAUAAUUCAAAAUAUCAAGUUAUAAAAGUACAAAGAUUGAUGGUAUAAAAACUGAUUUCUAUUGUCAAUUGUAUAUAAAAAGGAUCGUGAUUCAUAUCACACAUCUUAAACUCAUCAGUCGCAUAGAAUAUCACAGGAACGUUAGUAAGUGCCAUUGGAUUUAUGCAUAUCAAAUAUAAUAGAUAUUAUAUUGCUCGUGCACGUAUUAAAAAAUAUAAAGAAUAUUAAAAGAAAAAAAAUCUCAAUCAUUCCUUUUCAAUUUAAAAUUCAAAUUAUGCUAAUCUGUUUUCAUUAUUAAGAUAAUAUACUACUAUAAUUUAUAAUAUAAUUAAUAAUGUACAUUAUAAAAAGUUUUCUCAAUGUAUGCUUUGUGAAUGACAAAAAGCAACAAAAACACAAGCAAUAGUUAAAACAUGAUGAAAAAUGAAUAAUAACCAUACAAAAUGUCCUUGAUAAUUAUCUUACUUGUUAUUGCAAAUUUCAUUUUAUGUAUCAAAAUUGUAAAAAAGUCUUCGCUCUUCAAAGACUUAGACUUUUAAGCAAAAUAGUUUUCUAUUAUAUUUUGGAAAAAUCUGCUUCUCUUCUUUCGAAUUGUAAUAAGUUAUGCUGCUAUUAAUUGCCAUUUUAGAUUAGAGAUAAAAGAAAAUUCAAAACUUUUUUCUAGUAAAAUCUCAAGUCUUUUUUUUCUUUUUAUUUUUAAUUUCAAUAAUUAUUAUUUGUUUAAUGCAGCACAAUCAUAUUGACAACAAUAAUCAUAUAAUAAUCAUGCUCAUUGCUAUGGCAAUAGCACAAUUUACAAAAUUCUACACUAGCUGAUUCAAAUACUAUUAACACAGUUAUUUCUUUCGAAUAUUAGGGUAAAUUUAUCAUGAAUAGUAUCUUUAACGUGUAAAGUAAUACAUGGUACAGUAGUCAGUCACCUUUCUCUGGUCACAGAAGAGAAUAUUUAUGUAGUAUGAAUCCUAUGAAAUUAUAUUAUUCAUGAAAAAGACCGCCGUCUCCUCUUUUUCUUAUAACGUAUUGCCUAAUUAUAUUAAUAAUUAACAAACGUCACGCACAGGUUUUUUAUAGGGCACGCUAUAUCGUUUUUCGCGCUACAUGUUCCUAGCCAGUUACAUAGAGCCAUUUAUACCUCAAGAUAAAUUAAAGUUAAUUGAUAAUCAAUUGAAUUUUAAUCGAGCAUUUAGUUUGAUUGAAAAAAAAAAAAAA